rnacentral:rRNA from 1 species
GGCUUCGACCGGCGUACGGGUGCGUAACGCGUAUACAAUCUGCCUUUCACAUAGGGAUAGCCCGAAGAAAUUUGGAUUAAUACCUAAUGGUAUAUAGGAGUGGCAUCACAUUUAUAUUAAAGCUGAGGCGGUGAAAGAUGAGUAUGCGUUCUAUUAGCUAGUUGGAGAGGUAACGGCUCCCCAAGGCGACGAUAGAUAGGGGUUCUGAGAGGGAUAUCCCCCACACUGGUACUGAGAUACGGACCAGACUCCUACGGGAGGCAGCAGUGAGGAAUAUUGGACAAUGGUCGGAAGACUGAUCCAGCCAUGCCGCGUGCAGGAAGACGGCCUUGUGGGUUGUAAACUGCUUUUGCAGGGGAAGAAUAAGGAGUACGUGUACUUUGAUGACGGUACUCUGCGAAUAAGCAUCGGCUAACUCCGUGCCAGCAGCCGCGGUAAUACGGAGGAUGCGAGCGUUAUCCGGAAUCAUUGGGUUUAAAGGGUCCGUAGGCGGGCUAAUAAGUCAGAGGUGAAAGCGCUCAGCUCAACUGAGCAACUGCCUUUGAAACUGUUAGUCUUGAAUGGUUGUGAAGUAGUUGGAAUGUGUAGUGUAGCGGUGAAAUGCUUAGAUAUUACACAGAACACCGAUAGCGAAGGCAUAUUACUAACAAUUAAUUGACGCUGAUGGACGAAAGCGUGGGGAGCGAACAGGAUUAGAUANCCUGGUAGUCCACGCUGUAAACGAUGGAUACUAGCUGUUUGGUUGUUAAGACUGAGUG